GCCCUCAUCGUCUAGGGGACUAGGACGCAAGCCUUUCAAGCUUGAGACCGGAGUUCGAAUCUCCGUGAGGGCA
rnacentral:tRNA from 1 species